rnacentral:rRNA from 1 species
GACGAACCGUACAAACGUUAUUCGGAAUCACUGGGCUUAAAGGGUGCGUAGGCGGCGCGGAAAGUUGGGUGUGAAAUCCCUCGGCUCAACCGAGGAACUGCGCCCAAAACUGCCGUGCUUGAGGGAGACAGAGGUGAGCGGAACUAAGGGUGGAGCGGUGAAAUGCGUUGAUAUCCUUAGGAGCACCGGUGGCGAAAGCGGCUCACUGGGUCUCUUCUGACGCUGAGGCACGAAAGCUAGGGGAGCAAACAGG